GCUUCGGAGAGCGCGUAGGCGGCGCCACGCGUGCCCGAGCGAUGGCGCAGCCGGAUGUAAAAACGGGCUGAAGCGCGCUUGAAAAAGUUUUAAUUCUUUUUUCCCCGAAAUAAACAUCGCUUGCAACGUCUGACUGCUCGAGCGAGCGCCCCGCCAUGGCGGCCCUGCGGCCGGAGAAACGGGCGGCGGGACGGAGCGCGUGCACGGCAAAAUAACGAGGCUGUGUGGUGCGGUAUGGUCCGGUAAUGAGCCAUUACAGCCUAAGAAACGUCAGUUACCUUGCUUCUCAAUAAAAGCACCGCUCAAGCUGUCGGGUAAAACUGCAGCUGCAACGUCAGCCGAGCGAGCUGCCUGCACAGACACGGCUAUUGCUGGCUCUUCAUACCGCCAGAACGAGUUCGGAAGCGUUUAAAAAGCGCGUAACAGCAUAAGGGAGCGCGCUUAGUACCGCUGGGCAGAUGCUGAGAUAUUUAAGUUUCAAAACAGCAACACGUGCAAUCAAACUAUUGAAUUCAAGCUCUUUAAGGCUGUGGAACAAACCUUGAGGAGAAGCCAGGUACCCAAACGAAAUCACCAACACAACAGAAGCGCAGCAAGUCAAUUCCUGAGGGAUAGCUGUGGAAUAUUUGCUUAAAAGGACAUAAAACAUUGAAACUACUUAUGUUUCAGGUGCUUACAUACGCCACGAGCCAAUUUGUUUUAAAUGGAGAGGUAAAGAACUGUGAAGUUGUAGGAAUGUUUAAGGCCAUCGGAAAACCAGAGCCUGCAGGUUAACGAGAAGGGUUAAAGCCAUUUCAACACCUAAUUAUUCAAAUGCCAUUUGGGGAGAGAAGGACAGCUCGUCCAUUCUAUAGUGACAAUGUACACGAAGGUAACCUCCAACCCAAUCAAAUAAUCUGCCUAAAACAUAAGGAAUGUGGGAUGUAUGGAGAAGACUUUUAAGGUAAUGAAAUUCUCUGAAAGUUACAAAGUCCCAGCAGAAUACACCAUUAGCUAUUAUCCAGCCAUCACUAUCAUUCUUGCAUCUACUCUGGAUGAUGUCUAAUCAUAAGACUUCAAUACUUUACUGCCAUACCCUGCAAAGAAAAAUGGCAGUUAAGCCUAGGAUUUACUAUAACAAAAUCCAAAAUUUGUAUUGGUGGACUCUUUAGAAGAGAGCCAGUACACACAACUAAGUAGGACAAGAUUGGCCUUAGGUACGACAAGCAGCUCACGAUUUAAGUUAUGCAACAUGUCCAGAAAGGUCUGAAAUGUCCCAGAUACAGCAACAUUAGGUAGAGACAUCUGGAAAACUCUGGAGCCACCUCACACGUGAUUUACUCAAGAAUCCUUUUAUGACACACUGCAGUGCUAAAAGCUGGCUCUCAAACACGUUGUAUGUUAUCACAGCCUUGCUACUAAAUAAUGAAGUCCCAGCUGGGAACAAAAACACUUCUCUCGCAAUAGCUGCACACGCCAGAAGGCAGUCAUUAUUUGUCUGUAAUGCUCCAAAGAGACUAAUUCAGGGAAGAAUCAAGUAAACCACCAUGAGAGCAACUGAUGUAUGUAUAUACAGGCUCAAAAGUACGAUGUUUGCCCCCUGGUGUCAAAACAAAGGGCUCUACAACAGAACCAGGCCAGAACUGCUACCUAGUUCACCUGCUUACCAUCAUUUUGUAACUGUUCCAUGUUCAAAAGACAGAUUUCUUUUUCCCCAAAUGAAAGCAAUCUCGAAUUGCUUUUGAUCUGAGUGCAACUCAGAUCUAGAAGUAAUCUAAGCAGUGAUGGUACUUGAAAGCUCUGAAGUCCUCUCUCUCUCAAUACAGUUCUUUAAAAUGUGUAGCACCACACUUGCACUGCAGUGGACCAAGCAAAGAAAACAAGCUGGACCCUUACAAUCAACCAUAAUGUUGACUGACAGACCCCCUGAACAGGCCAGAAAACCAGUUAAUGAAUCUAUGUGCCAUACUGUGACUCGAGGCAAUUUUUCAGUAUACUGUUUAUUAGCUGCAUGUAUUGAGAUUAAAGGAGUCAGUGCAAAUUCCCAGAUUAAACAUGUAUUAAGUACUUGUUUAUAGUUAUUAUCGUUACACAUCUCCCUCUAUCAGCAUACAGUAGAACAGCUAUUCUAAAGACCAUUUUCAUACACGAAAAGGCUUACAACUUUGCAUCUCAAAUAAGAGGCCUCUCAAACACCCACGUUUUAUUAAUAAAUUUAAAUUAUGCUUCAAAAAAAAAAAAAA